GAUGAACGCUGGCGGCGUGCUUAACACAUGCAAGUCGAACGAGGAAUUUUAAAUGAGACUUCGGUGGAUUUUGGAAUUCUUAGUGGCGGACGGGUGAGUAACGCGUGGGCAACCUGCCUUGUACAGGGGGACAACAGCUGGAAACGGCUGCUAAUACCGCAUAAGCGCACGGUAUCGCAUGAUACAGUGUGAAAAACUCCGGUGGUACAGGAUGGGCCCGCGUUGGAUUAGGUAGUUGGUGGGGUAACGGCCUACCAAGCCGACGAUCCAUAGCCGACCUGAGAGGGUGACCGGCCACAUUGGGACUGAGACACGGCCCAAACUCCUACGGGAGGCAGCAGUGGGGAAUAUUGCACAAUGGGGGAAACCCUGAUGCAGCGACGCCGCGUGAGCGAAGAAGUAUUUCGGUAUGUAGAGCUCUAUCAGCAGGGAAGAAAAUGACGGUACCUGACUAAGAAGCCCCGGCUAACUACGUGCCAGCAGCCGCGGUAAUACGUAGGGGGCAAGCGUUAUCCGGAUUUACUGGGUGUAAAGGGAGCGUAGACGGCAAGGCAAGUCUGAUGUGAAAGGCUGGGGCUCAACCCCGGGACUGCAUUGGAAACUGUCCUGCUGGAGUGCCGGAGAGGUAAGCGGAAUUCCUAGUGUAGCGGUGAAAUGCGUAGAUAUUAGGAGGAACACCAGUGGCGAAGGCGGCUUACUGGACGGUAACUGACGUUGAGGCUCGAAAGCGUGGGGAGCAAACAGGAUUAGAUACCCUGGUAGUCCACGCGGUAAACGA
rnacentral:rRNA from 1 species